GGCACACACGAGCACGAGGGCUCGCCUUCGAUGCGUGCGGGUACGCCGCCGCCGCCACCGCCUCCGCGCGCCGCCGCCACCGCCUCCGCGCGCCGCCUCUCCGGCCAUCCGCUGCCGCUGACGCGCGCGGCCUCUCUGCCAUCCGCCGCCCUGUUCUCCUUCCCUUCCCCAUUCGUCUCAAUCUUCUCCGGCGCCACCUGAAGCCUCCUCAACCUGAAAGCUCCUGCCAUCAAGCCCUUCUAAUCUCGCUGGAACAUGGACUUAACCGGAACGCCGUCCUGUUAGCCGUGCCCACUUGAGCGAGGAGAGAGUGGUGAGGCGGCUUAGGUGAGGCUCAGGACGGCGUCUCGCAUUGGGCGGAGGCAGCGACUGCCACCAUGGUGUCGUCCUUCUCCCACACCUUCGUCGCAGGACCGGAUUCACAAUGACGCCACCGCAUCUAGCGACGACGCAAGCUCAUGUGGGUGCCGCAACUUCCAAGGACAUGGGAGUCUCCAUGGGCAGCGAGUACGUGAGCACACUCACACACCACAACUCUCAAGGAUGCGGGAGCCGCCUCAGCCCGAGAGGACUCGUGAACCAUGCUCAGGUGAAGAUAUUAUUGUUAUGCUGAUCAUGGAGGAUGGAUAUUUCUUUGAGCUUCUAUCGUCGAUAGGGACGUUGUAGUGAGAUUUCUAUCGAACUCAAGAUAUUGAAAGUUGAAGGUUGGCACUGGUGGGGCUUGCUUCUAUGAGCACUGUUAGGUAUGUGGCGUCAACAAGCCCAAUAAUAAAAGCAAAUCUCAUGCUACUUAGUCAACUAAAGUCAAUGAGCCCCAGAUAUAUCCGUUAUCUUCUUCCAUAAAUAAUAUUAAUGUGUCAAUCAACCGUGUGAUUUCAUUAUUUAUGCUUUUUAUUAAUAAUAUUAUUAAUUAUAGAGAUAA